rnacentral:rRNA from 1 species
GUACAAGGUUUCCGUAGGUG